CCCCCCGCGCGCUUCACCUUCUCGCCGCGAGGCAUGCGCGGGCGGCGCGGACGGAGGCGGCCGGGGGUGGCGAGCGGAGCCGGCUUCCUCUUCGCCCCGCGCGGGCGCAGCGCCCCGCCGCAUUUUCCGGGCCCCGGGCUCGGCCGCUCACGGCGGAGAGAGCAGGCCGCUGAGGAGGCAGGCGGCCGGGCCUGCCCGGACAGGAAGUGGGCCCGGGUUUCCCACUCCUCGCUCCGCGCCUUCCUCCCAUGAAGGGCAGGCCCCGGAGGCCGCGAGCGUCCCGGCGGUGGCCGGGCAGCCGGAUGCUCCCGGGCGGUGGGCUGUGGCCCCGGAGGCUGAGGGCAGCGCGGGUGCGGCGGAGGCAGGGAGGCCGGGAGGCCGCGGGCCGGCCUUCUCGCUGGCCACGGCGCCUUGCACGGACGUUCAAUGAAUGGACAUUACUCAAGUAAUGAUCGAGAACUCGCAGUGAGCUAGGGUCACUCCCUCAGGAGGAAGCCAGCUGCCACAUUGUGAAGAUACUCAUAGUUCUGUGCAGGGAAAUACUCCAUAUGGCUGAGGCCUGCUGCCAGCAACCAGCAUUAACUUGCCUGGUAUAUGAUUGUGCCACCCUGGAAGCAGAUUUUCCAGCCCCAGUCAAGCCUUAAGAUGAUGUCGGCCCCAGCUGAUCUUUUGACUGCAACCCCUUGAGAGACUGUGAGACAGAACUAGCCAGUGUUAACCAUCUUUCAAGAUAAAGAGUGUGCACCUCCUCUGUCACUAAGCUUCAUGGUGUUAGUCUGGUGGCAUCAACAUGGCAAUUUAUGUGUGGAACUCUCAGGUAACACCAGGUCGUCCUGCAAUCAGUAUGUUUGUCUGUAAGUUUUACCCCUGAUUACAUGGUGCAAUCCUUCAGGAUUCAUGGCAUGAAUAAUGUCAUAUUCAUGGAAUGAAUAAUGUCAUAUUCAUGGAAUAAUGUCAUAUUCUAACAGCAUAAAGCACAAGAGUCUCACAUCUUACGUUCUCAUCAGUUACUGGUUGAAUGCAUGAUUGAAUGAGAGAUGUUGUUGCUGUAGCCUGUAUAAGAAUGACCACUAUCAUCAGCCUCAGCUACAUGGAGCACAGCAUGCUUUUGUGUUGAUGAAUUAUUUCCAGUAGCUAUCCUUUCCUCAAAGUGAAAAAUUUAUUUUCUCACAUAACAAGAAGUCCAGAGUUAGUUCAUUCCUGGGGAUAAGUAAUGCAUCCAAGACCAGGAUCUCACUAUCCUCUCACUUUGAAACUUGUUUGCUUUUGUCACAAGCUUACCCCUCAUGGUUACAAAGUGGCUGCAACAGCUCCAGGCAUUCUAUCCUUUAACACAGAAUAACUCAAACAACAAGACCCAAAAUUCAGACAAGAAGGAAAGGGACUUUUGAAGAGUGAAGAAAACUUUCCCAGAAACCUCAGACUUCUCCUCAUGCCUUACUGGCCAGAUUGUUUCCAUGCCCAUUCCUAAACCAAUCAUUGGCAAAGUGAGAAGAAUUUAUGCGAUUUGAUUAGCUUUAUGAAGAAUGCAUCCUCAGAGAGGCUUCGAAGAAGUCCAGCCUCCUUUGAAGAGCCUGGCUACCUUUUACCUGAACAAAACAAGAAUUCUGAUGACAAGAAAAAGGGAGAAUUCAUGUGGAGCAGGCAUCUGGAGUGUCUAAGCCACAAUUUUUUUCAGUGCAUUUCACCAGUUAUAUUUUUGUCUCUAUCUCACAAGAUGUGUGGCACAUUUGCCUAAAACAAGCCUUACUUUCUGAUUUCCGUGCACUAGACAGACACUUAAGCCUUGUAAAUGUCAUUUACCUAACAGUCACCAUCAAGGAGUAUCUGGCUAAAGAAUCUCCAGCCAGCCAAAGUACAAAUGUUGGUCUGACAGUUGAAUAUAUUGUAUCAGUCUCAACAGCUCCUUUCACCAAAGCAUGAGACUUCACAGCCAUUAGAUCUUCUUUUAUUUUGUUUGUAUUUUUUUAAAAAUUUAAUACACUAUUGCUAACUUGAGGCCACUAAAUCUUCUUACCCCCAAUACCACAAAAGUUCAGUGGAAUCAGUGGUAUAUCAAGGCAAGUGGAGUCAGGGAGCCGGGAGUGGUCAGCGCCCGGGAAGGCAAUGCGGGAUUGCGGAACUGUGAAGAAUUUUAAAGCAGUGAUACAGCUGUAAGUGCAAUGUACUAGGCUUAGCCCUGAAAGAGAAAAAAGAUAUUAGUGGAAAAACUGGUAAAAUUCAAAUGAGGUCUGUAGUUUGGUUAAUAAUAUUGUACCAAUGUUAAUUUCUGUGUUUUGAUAAAUGUAUCAUGGUUAUGUAAGCAGGAUGAAAGAUACGUGGGAAAUCUCUCUACUAUUUCUGCAACUCUCCUGUAAAUCUAAAAUUAUUUCAAAAUAAAAAGAUUUAAUGUUAAAAUUGA